UACGAAGGGGGCUAGCGUUGCUCGGAAUCACUGGGCGUAAAGCGCGCGUAGGCGGAUUGUUAAGUCAGGGGUGAAAUCCUGGAGCUCAACUCCAGAACUGCCUUUGAUACUGGCGACCUUGAGUCCGGGAGAGGUGAGUGGAACUGCGAGUGUAGAGGUGAAAUUCGUAGAUAUUCGCAAGAACACCAGUGGCGAAGGCGGCUCACUGGCCCGGUACUGACGUUGAGGUGCGAAAGCGUGGGGAGCAAACAGG
rnacentral:rRNA from 1 species